GCUGGGAUAGCUCAGCAGGAAAAGCAUGAGACUCUUAAUUUUAAGGUCAUGGAUUCAAACACCACUUUGGACA